AUGAUAUGUUUGUUACUGCCGGGCAGUGGAUAGCUUGGCUUGGGCAAAAUGCGGAUCGUGGCAAGCUGCGAAAUGCUCGGGGUAGGCGCAGGCAGCCUGUAAUCCCGAGGUAAUCCGUUUAAUACGCGGGGAAUCGAAACAUCCUAUUACCCGCAGGAAGAGAGAACAAUUGUGAUUUGGUAAGUAAGGGCGACUGAAAGCCAAAAAGGGCAACCUGAAUACCCAACUGUAAGGUUGGGAAGAUGUGGGGCCGCCAACAACGCAAGUUGUUGGGCUGUGCUCGCAAGAGCACUUAAGUAACAUCCGCCGCACUAGGGGAAGCUCCUGAAAAGGGGCGCCAAAGAGGGUGAAAGCCCCGUACCCGAAAAGCAGGCGGAGAAAGGCACAAAGAGUAGCGUCCAUUGAGUAUUGGACGCAAAUAUGGCGGUAUCGAUCGCCAACCCUAAACAUACCCCAAGACCGAUAGCGAAGAAGUAGCGCGAGCGAAAGCUGAAAAGGACCCCGAAAGGGGUGUUAAAAGAACUUGAAACUGUCCGGCUACAGUUUGAUGCGGCAUGAAAGCGUUAAUAUCUCCCGAAGCUACCGACCGAAAGGAAGGGUGCGAGGGGGAUUCAGCGGUGUCGCAUCCUCCUUCUAUAAGCAAGGGCCAGGGAGUUUCUACCUGCGGCAAGGCGAGAGCCGGAGCGAAAGCGAGUGCGAAAGCGCGAAACAGUCGUUGGUAGCAGACCCGAAGCUGAUGUGAGCUAUACGUGGAUAGGGCGAAGCCGGCCUGACGGCCGGUGGAGGCCCGCAACCAGUGCUAGUAUAUUCUGCUUGGGUGAUCUACGUAUAGGGGUGAUAGUCCAGUCGAACUCAGCAAUAGCGGGCUCCCCCCGAAGUAUAUCUCAGUAUAGCGCCGCGGGAGUUGUUGCGCAAGGUAGAGCACUGAUCGGAGAGUACGGGCCCGAGAGGGCUCACUUUCUUGUCAAACUCCGAAUUUGCGCAAAACGAAGAACGCGGCAGUAGGCUUCUCUCGGGUAAGCCGAGAGGACUUUACGGGAACAACCGGUACCGCGGUUAAGGUCCCAAAAUUCUGGUUAAGUGUGACUCUCAAGGGGUCUCCAGUCUAAGACAGCUGGAAGGUAGGCUUAGAAGCAGCCAUCCUUCAAACAACGCGUAAUAGCGGACCAGCCGAGAUUGCGGACCCCGAAGAUGCUCGGGGCUAAAUCAGAUACCGAUACCGCGGAAUGGCGCACUGUUAGGUGCGCGCAAUUUGGUAGGGGGGCGAACCGGUCGGGCAGAAGCGCGGGUGUGAACUCGCGUGGACCGGCCGGCUAUGAAAAUCCUGGUAUUAGUAGCAGCAUAUCCAGGCGAGAAUCCUGGACGCCGAAAGUACACGGUUUCCUUGGCCAUGUUCUUCAGCCAAGGGUAAGGCGAUCCUAAGCACGAGGCUAAUUGCCAACUGUGCAAAAGGGAAACCGGUUAAAAUUCCGGUCCCGGAUAGAUAGGCGCGGCAACGCAUGAUGCGUUCCUGACGUUUUGGGGUAGGUGCAGUGGAGGAGACUCCAUUUAAGCAAGAUAAGCCUUCGGAGACUCAUUGUGAGGAGAAGAAGGCUAAAUUUGCGAGCGGCCGCACGGUUGCGCCAAGCCCCGGAGCCCUUGAAAAGGGAACGCGUAACGAUUCUAUCCGACCGUACCUAGAACCAGUACAGGUGAUACUGGCAGAAAAAGCCAAGGCGUGGCAGGACAACUCUCGUAAGGGAACUUGGCAAGUUAGUGGCGUAACUUCGGGAUAAGCCAUGCCUGCGGGCCUUUGCGGGCCUGCAGGUCUCAGUAACAAGGGGAGACCGACUGUUUACCAAAAACACAGGUCAUCGCAGAGCCGAAAGGCUAAGUACGAUGGCCGAUGCCUGCUCACUACUGGUACGUUAAACUCCGGUUCAACGGAGCAAAGCGCCAGCAAAGAGCGGGGGUAAUCGUCAGUUCCAAUUUUAAACAUCAAAUGAGCUUGGUUCCAUAUGCAGAAGUUUGAGGAGUAUUUUAUAGGCGCACUUCAAGAUGCGUACGUCGAUGAAAAGCGCAAUGAGAUUCAGCUGUACCAAAAGAAUAAGGAAUGGCUCGAUUUUAUUAAUGCCAAUCUUAAGAAAGAUUACGGCAUUACUGGAAAGAUUUUCAAAAGAGACGUUUACUUGCUUAGAAAAAGAAGCAAAGCGUUUGUUUUGAAAAUUAAAGAGGCAAAAACUAGAAUGAAUUCUUUUGGCGCGGAUUUCGUCGCAGGGCUUUUUGAUUCGGAAGGUUCUGUUUACCUUUCAACAAAAUCAAAAAUACCCAUCAUUGAUGUAACGCAAUCCGAAAAAGGAUUGGAAUAUCUUAAGUGUGCGCAAAAAAUUCUUAUGGAGAAUGGGAUUGAUUCGAAACUGAAUGGCCCAUAUAAACAUAAGCAUGGAAAACUCCUGCAAUAUCAUCUGCGCAUAUAUGGAAAUAAAAAAUGUGGGAUAUUUUUUAGGUUAAUUCCCAUUUAUUAUAAGAAUAAGUUUGAGAAAUGCUCAUUUUGAACUGACGACCCCACACUCUGACCCUCUUAUUUGGCUCUUGCAAGAAAUUGCCGGAGCUGAUGUGAGAUAGGUAGCGUAAUACCUCGCCGCUUAAUUGGUGGCUUGCAUGAAUGGCAUAACGCGUCUCCCACUGUCCCUACGAGGGACCUGGUGAACCUACUACUCUGUGAGUAUGCAGAGGACUUCUAGGGGGAAACGAAGACCCCGUGGAGUUGGAAACUACUCUCUACCACCGGAAAACUACCGUCUCGGGAGGUUUAUAAACAAGGAGAAACGAAAGGGAAAACAUAUGUUUGAACUUUCUCCCUUGCUUGCCUACGAGACAGGUGUCCAUCUUGGUGACGGAAACUUGACGUACAAUAAAAAAUGGAACCUUUACAGAAUAACUUACGCAGGAAAUUCGGAAACGGAUUCCGAAUUUUUUGAGUGCGUUCUUCCAAAAUUGAUUUUCGAAGUUUAUGGAAAACGGGUGCGGAUUUAUCAUCCAAAGGGCGAGAAAACCGUUCUUGUUGUCCUAAACUCAAAGGAAAUCGCAAGGUUCAAAAUGGAUGCGCUUGGGCUUCCUUCAGGAAAUAAAAAUCAGCUGAAGGAAUUUCCAAGGAAGCUUAAGGAAAAAUAUCCUGCAGAUAUUGUACGAGGUUUGGCAGACACUGAUUUCUGUCUUUAUUUUAAGGAUAGGAAUAAGGAUGGAAUUGCCGAGAUUCCGAUUAUUGAAGGGUGCUUCUCAAACGAAGCGUUCUGUUCGGAAAUCUCGGGGAUACUUUUCAGAUUGGGGAUAUUGCAUUCUACGCGCAAGGUUGUUUCGCAUAAUAAAUAUGUGGAACACCGAAUACGCGUUGAGGGCAAAGGUCAGUUUUGCAGAUGGAUGGAAAAAAUCGGGUUUUGGAAUCCGAAACAUCUUGCAAAAGCAGAUGAUUAUUUUGGGAAUUUUCCGGCAGAGUUUUAAUUUUUUUAAACCAGUUUCCGACGCGGAUAGCUUUACUAUAGCCUGCUGUUGAGAUACGGUGAUGGUCGCGGAGCGUAAAUGGGAGCCGUUACGCUGCAUCUUUCGGGGUGCAGAUAGGCGACAUUGUAACACCAUUCGAUCGUUAUUGUAUUUCUUACCGGAAGGGACCGCGGCAGGUGGAUAGUUUGGCUGGGAGUCCGAAGAUUUAAGGAAAACAGGAAUCAAGCAAUGCGUUCUUUCUCACGCCGAGAUUCUUGGAACGGGAGUCGGAAAUGCGACUCUCGUCCAGAAAUCUGACUUUGGUUGAGAAAAUGGAAAGCGAGCGCUUGUCAUAAACGCGAAGCCCGUGCGUUGAAUGUGAAACUCUGAUGCCCAAGCUUUCAAAGCAGUUUGAAAGUUGGCUGCGCAGAUGAGGAUUAUAGCAUGCGAUGUCGAUGACUCCGCGCGGAUGCGAACGGUCUAUGGAAAUUGAACCGUCGCAGGAGCAGUAUGCGCGUAAAAAUGCGCAUGUAAAAGAUUUGGAGAGAAGAAUGCUGUUUGGAAUUUUGCAUUUGGGAUGUGUGCCGUCCGCAAACGGAGCAGUCCUGAAUGUUGAAGCUUCCGAAAGCAGUUUUUUUGCGAUUGGCACCGAGAAAAACCUCGCUGAUUUCGCAGAACCGCAGCGGUUAUAGGAGAAAUUUCUUUUUCCGAAUUCGCAAUUAGUGAUGUGCCUGAAAUAGUCAAGCAUUCCUUCAACAGUAUUGGUGAAUUGGAUGCAGUAUGUCCGUUUUGACUUGUCAAAAUAGAGUGAACCGUCUGAAAGAAGCAUUGCAAAUAGUUGUGCUAAAUUUUCGUUCAUAAUAAAACGAAAUGUUUUUUGUUUAUAAGGGUGCGCAGGGAGUAGAAGUCCGCACCCUCCGAUUCCUGCUUACAUCUUCGGACCAGCAAGCGGUACAUCCUCGAUAAGGAAACAAGGAUGCCCAAUGUUCAGCUUAGGUGCGUUAGAAAUGCACCGUUAAGGGUAAAGGACAAAUGCUGGACUGACUGUGUUCCUAAUAGCAUGGGACGCAGAGGCGAAAGCCGGGCCUAACGAACCUUGGCACCCUUUUGAUGAGGGUCCAAGCUGUCAGACAAGCUACCCCGGGGGUAAUUCCACCGGCGGAGUUUUUUGAUUAACUGUCAGUGGAACUCCAUACAGGCUCGUCGCGGGCGAGAGACAAAUCUCUCCCGAUUUUUAAUUUAAGGACGAUGCUUAAAGGUGUCUUCUAUUCUCUAAAGUAUUUUCUGCAUUGAUAUGCAAUAGCAAACCCGGCAUUCGGGUUUGCUAGCUGUGCCGCACGAAAAGCGUGCGGCACUAAAAAGAAACAUCUGGGAUACUAAAGGAUAGUUGAACCUUUAGGCUAGUGUAAGGUUUUCGAUACGAAAACUAUAUCGUCUGGUUUAUGGGAGGCAUUUGCUCAAAUACCCAUCGACCCCGCGGUUUGGUACAUCGCUGUCGGCCUAGGUCAUCCUGGCGGUGCAGGAGCCGCCAAUGGUUGGGUUGUUCAUCCAUUAAAGACCUACACGAGCUGGGUUCAGAACGUCAAGUUGGGCGUUGCUAGGCCGCAAGGCCUUGAUAAAUAAAAUUGGCUCAUAUCGGUGAAACCUCGCUUUAAAAAUAUUGCAGACCGCAAUGUUUGCAAGAAAGCGUGGCAAUACCGAGGGAAGGCGAGAUUUGUGGAUUCAACAAUGCUUGCGUAUAUCGCAGGGUUCCUUGAUGGAGAUGGCAGUAUCUUCUUUCAGAUAGUCAGAAGAAAGGACUACCGUCGGAAAUUCCAGAUAAGAAGCAGCGUUGCUUUUUAUCAGAAGACGGAUUCGUGCCGCAUUUUAAAGUGGCUCAAGGGAAGAUUGAAAGCGGGGUAUAUCCGCCAUCGCAAAACAGGAAUCAGUGAUUAUACAAUUGUCGAAUCAAAAGAGGUGGAAAGGAUUCUUUCCAUUCUACAUCCGUACGUGAAACUGAAGAAAAGACAGCUUGAACUUGGUUUGAAAAUUCUGCGCAAACUCAAAAAAUCACAAAGCAAUAAGGAUUUUCUUGGAGUUUGCAGGCAAGUUGACAAGUUUAAGCUGUUGAAUUAUUCCAAGAAAAGGACAGUGACAUGUUCGGUCGUAAGCAAAUCUUUGCCCCUGUAGAGACUGAGGCAGAAGUGGUCCUGAAAGGAACACGAAAAUGCCGAGAGUCCUGCCAAAGGGCAGGGCUAAGACGCCGAUCUCCCAUGCAGCAAGCGUGGGAUGGUGGUAUAGUCCAUGCCAUUCCGAAAGGAAUGGAUUAAACAUGCGCGAGACAGUUCGGUAGUAUCUCCUAGGAGUGUUUCCGCCUGAGAGGAAGAACCCUUAAGUACGAGAGGAACUUGGGUUCGGCGCCUCUGGUGUACCAGUUGUGCAAAGCACCGCUGGGCAGCUACGCGCUAUUGGAUAAGACCUGAAAGCAUCUAAGGUCGAAGUCAAUCUCAAAACGAGGCGGAUUGGGCGGUCGUAGCAGACGACUUUGAUAGAAGGGGGGUGUAAGAGCUAAGCGCAAGCGAGGCUUUCAGCCUGUCCCUUACUAAAGCCUAUAUCAUAUCCCUU
rnacentral:rRNA from 1 species